rnacentral:rRNA from 1 species
CCUACGGGAGGCAGCAGUGGGGAAUCUUGCGCAAUGGCCUAACGGCUGACGCAGCGACGCCGCGUGUGGGAUGAAGCUCUUCGGAGUGUAAACCACUGUUGCCCGGGACGAAUAGCUCGAUUAAUCGAGCCUGACGGUACCGGGUGAGGAAGCACCGGCUAACUCCGUGCCAGCAGCCGCGGUAAUACGGGGGGUGCGAGCGUUGUCCGGAAUCACUGGGCGUAAAGGGCGCGUAGGUGGUUUGAUAAGGGUGUGGUGAAAGCCCGGAGCUCAACUCCGGGUCUGCCGUGCCGACUGUCAAACUCGAGGACUGUAGAGGCAGACGGAAUUCCGGGUGUAGCGGUGGAAUGCGUAGAGAUCCGGAGGAAGACCGGUGGCGAAGGCGGUCUGCUGGGCAGUUUCUGACACUGAGGCGCGACAGCGUGGGGAGCAAACAGGAUUAGAUACCCUGGUAGUCCACGCCGUAAACGAUGGGUACUAGGUACCUGGGGGAGCGACCCUCUGGGUGCCGGCGCUAACGCAGGAAGUACCCCGCCUGGGGAGUACGACCGCAAGGUUGAAACUCAAAGGAAUUGACGGGGGCCCGCACAAGCGGCGGAGCAUGCGGAUUAAUUCGAUGCAACGCGAAGAACCUUACCUGGGUUUGACAUAUGCCGGAAAGCUGCACAGAUGUAGCCCCCGCAAGGUCGGUAUACAGGUGGUGCAUGGCUGUCGUCACCUCGUGUCGUGAGAUGUUGGGUUAAGUCCCCCAACGAGCGCAACCCUUGUCCUAUGUGCCAGCGGGUCUGGCGGGGACUCCUAAGGAGACUGGCGGCGGUCCACUGAGAGGAAGGUAGG